CGCACUGUAUGGUAUCUGCACACAAUAGCUGUUUCCUAUUGGGGUGUUCAAUAACCAGUGCAAUAACAAAUCAGUAAGUGGCAUCGUUGGUUCUCAAGCCUUAUGUGUUUGAAGACCUGGUUUUUAUGCUGAUACAAGU